CCAACAGUUACAAGGGGUGCUGCCAGGACUUGAGUAGAAUGCUGAUCUCCUGUAGAUGCAGUUAUGGAAAUAAGAAAUUCAACAUAUGGUACUUCAGACCCAUCGCUUUAAGGGGAGACAUCAUCAAAAUGCAUAAGAGGACAAAAUGAACAAAUAGGAUGCAUGUGGGUCUCAAGGACAUGGAGAAGCCACUGCAUCAACCCUGAAACUGCCUGCCUCCAUACAACCUCUAAGUAAGAUAAUAAAUGUUCUUACGUUCAUGUCACUUCUAGUUGUGUCUGCUAUUACUCACAGCAGCUGAAAGCAUCCUUGCUGAUACAAGGAAGACAGGAGGGAGUCCAGUGGGACCCCAAACUCGUUGGAUGGAGUAAAGAAAUAAUCUCACCUUUUUCACCUGAG
rnacentral:lncRNA from 1 species